UGGGAGCGCCCGGCAGCUAGCGCGGCCAGGAGCUGUUUCCGGACGCAGCGCCGCUUCGAAUGAUUCCUGAUUCAUGGUACUAGCAACAAAAAGAAAUGAAAGAAACUCUGGGAGAAAUCGGAGCAUUUAAAGGCUGAAACACUGAAGUACCAGAAACUACUGGAAAGAAGGAAAGAACAUUUGAAUGUACAUCUGGAAGCAGUAGCUGUUAUUUAAAACCAGCUAACCAAAAGGAGGUUUUCUUUCUGAAAAUAGCAAGUUCAGAUGCAUUUGGCAUAUUUAAUAGAAUUCAGCAAUUCAAGCAGAGGAUAGCCAUGAAACUGUUACAAAAAAAAUGAGAACUGCGCUCUAGAUAAAAACAAAGCAUAUGAAAGUUAUAAACAGUAAACAUGAGGGUUCAAAAGUAUUUUGCAGCUUAUAAAGUUGGACAGUCAAUUACAGCUCAGCAUAUUUCUACCCAAAAUAUAUAUUACAAUAAAUCAUGGAAUUUCCCUGUUCUAGGGCAUGAGCUAGUUAAUAUUUUUAGAUUUUAAAAAAUCUUGCCAUUUUGAAAGCUAACUUAGCUCCUGGUUUUCCCUGGAACAGAGAACAAAUAAUAAGAAAUUGGACUCCUAGAAGUUCACUCCAGAUGAUGCAACAUAGAAUUUCCUUUAACAAGUACGUCAAUAAAGUGUUGGAUCAGAGGGGUCUGUGAUACCUUAGAUAUGACCAAGAGCUGAAAAUAUCAUAUGGCAAAGAUAUUAGAGGCCGAAAAGCUUACAGAGCUUGAAAUCAGAAACAAGCAAUAACAACACAAAUACUGCAGAUGGGAAAAGCUGAGAUUUAAGCAAAAGCUUAUAUUAAUUUGAGAGACACUGCAAGCACAAGGAGUCUGAACGCGAUGAACAAACUGCAUAUUGAUAACACCUCUGGUUUAGAUGAAUGUUUUCGUAAGAACAAAGGAUACUUGCAAAAGAAGAUCAUGUAUGCAGAAAAAACAACAGUACGCUGUAACCACAAGAGCAAAUGGGACUUGUAUUACCUUCAGUGAGGCAUAUGUGCACGACUCCUGUCGUUCCCAGGAACUGUGCUCUGACCCUGAGAGAAAAUCCACAAGUUAUAGAAAGCAGUUAAAAGAGAUCAAUGUAUGAUAAGCUUAAACAUUUGGUGCUUUUUCUCAAAAGUCUUCAUGGCAAGAGGUGACACAGCAUGACAUCAUGCGUGGAGACAGGAGAUAUCCAGGAAGAGGAAGGCAAAUCAGGCUGGGCAACCACAGGUAAAACAAUUUUGGAAACCCUGAGUAGAAAAGGAAAGGACUUCUCUCAACCUGCAUGAGGAAAAUUUUAAGAUGAGCUGGAUGGCAGCAUGAUACCAGCAAAUGGAUUACAAAGUCAGUUACAGAGGCAGGUCAGUAAGAAUUUUCCUUAAUACUAUUAGCUAUUCCUUCUGAAUCACAAAUUUGCAGGCAUUAUCUUCUAUGAGCAUGGAAGAAUUCAAAGAACAAUAAUGAGCAACUGAAGAAAGUGCGGUCUGACUGGUAGCCAGAGAUCACAGCCCUUCUCCCAUGAUGAGAUGGUCAUAUGAGACAAAGGACAAAAACUGAGCAGCCGGACUUUGCCAUUAAAGCAGUCUGUAAUUUAUGUCUGCAAAAAAUAUGUCUACUCAGUGGGAUAUUGAUCACAAGACAGAACCUAUCACCUCCCAGGAGAAUAUAGCUACUAUCCAAAGAACAUUUGACAAAUUACUAUCUGUCAAGAUAGCAGGCAAAUGCAUAGUCUAAAGAAACAGGUAAAUUUGAACUAUGUCUACAACAUCAGAAAAAAAUUGAUUCUUGAGAGGUGUGGUGAAAUACAUAAAAAAAAAACCAAUAAGGCAACAUAUAAACUCUUUGUUUCUGUGUUUUAAUGUUUUUUCUGACCACUGGCUCUCUUGGGGAACACAUAAUGCCAGCGAGGGAGGGUGGCAAUGGUGAAGUGGCAGCUGCUGGGGUAAACUUACUACAGAGCUUCUUCCUUGGAGUGCAUCUAAUCACACUGAAGAAACUUCACAUUACACUUAACUGCAAAUUUCUCCCCCUUUGGACCAAAAGGUCCCUCAAAACUGUAACAGUUUAGUGGGCAGCACUCUUUUUUCUGAGGCUCCAGAGCCCCUGGAUUCACAGUCAGAGUAGAGCAGAGAAUAUUUUUCAGGAGAGCUUACAGUACAGGUAAUGACCAGGUUGCUCUAGUUUCACUGUGGAUCAAGGUGUUGUAAUCUCCAACAUUGCAGAAAACCUACGUAAGACCUUUAUUUGCUGCUUUCUUAAGGAAGGGUCCUCAACAGGAAUGAGUUGGGUCAGCAGAUUUGAUCUUAUCUGCACAAAGAUGCACUUCAUUACUUUGUACAGCCAAUGCAUGGAGUGGGACAUCGGCAUACUCAGCUUUUCAUCCCUUCCCUCAGCACAUCUACCUGACAUGCUCAGAAUAUUCUUGGCAGGUCUUAAAUUAUGCUGCAUCGAUGAAUAUUCCUAUUUCUGGGUCAGAAGCUGAGGAUUAGGAAGAUUCCCUCUAUAAUCACCAAAAGA